GAUGACAAAAUUAAAAAGAGAAAAGACAUACGAGUAUCAUUAUUUCAGGGGCACUCUGACCCAGAGGACAAAUACUGUGCCACAGAAAUAUGCCUGGGAUGGAGAUUUCACUCGUCAGGUGAGGGAACAGUAGCCUCCAAAGGAAGGGCAGGUGCUUGGCAUGGGAUGGAGGUGCAGGAGAUUGACGGUGCUCCGAAGGGGAUGUGUAGUAUUCCCUAGUGAAGAUGAGCAUUAGGAAAACUUCCUUGAAACCCACAGAUCUUGAAGAAGUACUCACAUUUCUCAGCUGCCACCUGUCCUGACUCAGAGAAACCACGAAAAUGCCACCUAGCAGGCCCAUGGGAACUAAAAACAGAGGUCUGAAAUAAUUUUAGCUUUUCACAAGAAGUGGCCUCUUCUUUUCCAUUGCUGGGGCAAGGAAUGAAAAUAAGUAUAAAGUAAGGGAUGAAUUAGACAAGGAGCUAGGGCACUGCCUUGUGGAGAGAGAGAAAGAGAGAGAGAGAGAGAGAGAGAGAGAGAGAGAGAGAGAGAGAGAGAGAGCACAGAUGGGUAUGGUGACUCUGGGAUGCUAAAGCAAGAGAAUCCUUGCCUAGUCAAGAUAUCAAGAUAUAUUCUACCUCAAAAAAAUAAGUAAAACUACAGAGUGCAUCUCCUAGGUAAAAGGAAUGCGUGUUUCUCAGAAUGGUCAGGUUUAUUCUAUGGAAGUCAAGCAAUAUUUUGAGGCUUCUGCUGGGAGAAGGUUACAAUAGUGAAACUCAGCAGAUUCACAACAUAUGUGAUGUCUGCAUUAAGGAACAUUUUUAUGCUAAGAGAUAUACACUGUAUAUGGACAGAAACCUAGGGACUGUGGUCAUGGCCUCACCUUCCUCUGGCUGAGUGAGCUGGGAAGCAUGAGAAUGCGGUGCACUACCCUCUGGGUAUAGCCAUGCUUCUGCUUAGUCAAAUGAUCACUAUCAUACCACAUACCUCCAGGAUAUUUGCUCUCCUAUGUCCUAAGCGUCACAGUCACCAGUCUCUGCUUCUCUACUGGAGAUAAGCAAAUUCCUGCUUUUCUGUUACCGUAGUGAAGGCCCUUGCCUUGAAACACCAGACUCUUUAUCUCACCUGCUUUUCUAGAGUAGUUUUCUAGUAAGCAUUUCUACUGCUAAUUUUGGAAAUCUUGAAAAUCUAACUCAUAGUUUUCUCACUCUGAGUCUUGGAAUCACUGAUCAGGCAUGAAGUCCUUGGGUCAGGAAGACCAGGAGUCACCACAGAUUUUCUGCUGUUCCUCAGGCUGUCCUACUGUGUCCAUCCACAGAAUUACUUUCUGCUUCCAGGUGAGGCUCUCUGCAUCGUUAGCACAGGAAAAUUCUGGGUAUUUAUUAUUUAUUUGUUGGUGCUCCUCAGAAUGGAACCCACUGCCUUCUCAUUGAGCUACAUCCUCAGCCUACUUUUUAAGUUGUUUUUGCUAUAAGACAGGACUUCGCUAAGUUAUUAAGUUAACCAGCCCAGACAUGAAUUUAUGGUACUCCCAACUCAGCCUCAAAGAGUAUUGGGAUUACAGGCAUGUGCUACCAGACCUUGUUAAAAUUCUGCUUUUUACUAUGACAGAAUUAUGCUGUGUAGCCAGGCACUCCUGCAAUCUAGCACUUAGGAGGCUGAGGCAGGAGAGUUGUUUGCAAAUUUGAGACCAGCCUGGGCUAUAAAGUAAGCCCACAUCCAGCCUCAACUGCAUAGUGAGACCCUGUCUCAAAGACAGAGAGAGAGUGGGGGGGGGGUUGUGUUACAUUUCUCUUUUUUGUGUUUUGGGGCAGAUAACUCAAAUAAAAUGUCCAUUCCUUGACAUAACAGCAACAUGUUUUGCCCAGGGUAUAAAAAUAUAGAUUAAAUUAGUGAACAAUUCAUCCCAUAGAUUUCUGUGCUAAACCAAAAAAACUGAGAGAGAGAAUUACCCACGGAGUACAGGAAAUAUACCCCAAACCAAGUUAGUUUUUCUGAUGGUGAUUUCUAGAACACUAAGAAAAUCUUUGAGACAUGGUUUCCUCCUCUGUACAGUGUGGACGGCUGCUGAGAGAGCUGAGUAACAGUAGCAGGGCAGUGCUGUACUGAGUCAAAUUAGAACCAGGGAAAAAAGGAAAAUUCAGUAAGACUGCACUGACCAGUCUUUAAACUCCUAGUAAAUUGCUCCCACAGACUUCUGGUAUUGUUUUGAUUUUUUAAAACUGUACAAUUAUUUGUCAUGAUUUCUUUGGCGCCUCUUUUAGAUUUCAAGCUUGAAAUAACUCGUUCAUUCCCUUUGCUUGUCUUGGUCUUAAAACACAAGGUUUGCCAUGAAUCUGGAGUCAGUGAAUGUUAAAUACAUGUAUUUAUGCUCAUCCAUGGCUCUAUCAUCUAAAUUCAUAAAGUAGGUCAGGCUAAAUGCCUUAGAGAAAUUCUAACGCAGGGAUUGUUGAGCUUAACUCAAAAGAAAAUUGGAUUAAUUUGGUUUAACUCAAAAUUAUCACCUGUUUCAUCCCUAACAUAGGAAGAAAAACUUUAGGAAGGAUGAAGUAGGUUUAAAGUGUUAACUCUGUUUUUUUUUUUUUUUCUUUUUGUCAAUGAAGGUUAAGAAGCUCAUAGUUUUCUUAACACUAGAAUACCGAGUACAGAUUAGACCUAUUUAUUAAGUUUCUAAGUCCCUAUAAACUGCUUAUUUGAACAAAGUUAUUAGAAGGUGAGGGGAAACAACAUUGGUAGGAGUUUCACCAUACCCUAUGCAUUCCAAACCAUUUAUUUUUAUUUAACCUUAUUUUAUCAGGGUAUUUGAAACUAGAGAGAUUCAUUGAUGAAAUCACAAGUGUUUGAAAAUUCACCUUUGAUGUUAUCUAUAAUUUUUUAAUGCCUAAAUACUACACUCAGAAAAAUAUAGUAGUCAUGAAAUAUUGGAGCUAAAAGGUCUUUUUUUCUGGUCCCAGGACUUGAACUCAUGACCUCAUGCUUGCCAGGCUGAAGCUAAAAUGUCUUAAAUAAAUUCCAACCCAAGAGUUGUGGAGGUAUAAGCGUCUCAGAGAAACAUAACAAAACACAUGUGUCAUAAGUGUGGUGGCCUCACCUGUCAUUCUAGCUCUGGGAGGCUGAAAAAGGAGGAUUUCAAGUACAAACCAGCUUAGGCAACUUAAAGAAAGAAAAAAAUUAAAGGUCUGGGACUAUAGCUUACUCUCAAGACCUUGAGUUCAGUAAGUAAAUAAAAAUAGGUGGUUAACAAAAUAAAAACUAGCUGGUGAUUUAGCUCAGUGGCAUAAGCUCCUGUCUUGCAAGUGCGUGGUCAGUUCAUCCUCCAUACCGAUUUAAAAAAAAAAAACCUAAAAAAUUUCAAAACCUGACACAUGUGGCUUUUCCAGAUGUCUCAGCGAGUGCAAUGGCUGCAGCUUCAUGUCCCUGCCUGUGGACAACCUGCUGCCAGCCUGAUACAUGACUUGGGUGGGCGUGCCCCCUCAUCAGCUGCAGGAAGUGGGAAAAGCUGAAAGCCCUAAGCUUGCUCUAACCUCAUUGGAUGGAGUGGAGAGCCCAGGGGGUGGGUCCACAUCUGAAUCACGCAGGUGUCAGAGCUGGCAGCAGGGCCGAUGGAGUCUUGGGGCCUCAGCCAGCUCCUGUGGGUUUCCUUAUCAAGUAGUGUUGAAAGGCUGUGCACCUGGGAGACACAGUGGCUAAAGGCACAUGCUGAAAAAUCCCACUGCCAGUCUGCCAAAUUAGCUACCACCACUUGUUAGCUAUUUGAUCUUAGCUACUUGACAUUUUAAAAACCUUAGUCUCCUCAUUAGUAACAGGGAAAUAUCUACUGAGUUAACCCCUGGUUUGCAGUGGUGAUUAAGUGAAGGCAAUGUACCAUCAUUAGGUGCCCAGCAGGAUGGUGGUCUUUUUUAUCAACUGUCACCUAGACUGAUAGCUGGAAUUAGUGAUUUGGUCUCCAGGGUCUUCACUGCUGUCUCAACAACACCAGAAACAUCUUCUGCUUAGUAUACUUGAUUUAUGGACUAAUUUACUUAUCAGAGUUAUCUAUUCAUUAAAAAAGACUUGUUGAGGAAAGUACUUAGUAGUCACUGCUGUAUCUUGCGUUAGUGUAGCAUCCCUGGCGUCUUUGUGAGAGGAAAGGCCGCACAUGCUCUGGUCUUGUGCUUUGUUUUCUGCUAGGACUUUCUUGAAAUGGGUCAUCCGUUCCCCUAGCACGUGUACCCACAGCUUCACCAAGACCACCAAGUCUUCUGAAGUCAACUCUCACAUUUUUAUACAGCUUGCUGCAUACAUUUCCAUUUCCUGCUUUUGACGCUUAAGUCUUGAGAGACUGCUGCACUGCUUGUCGUUUAAAAAGUACUCAGGAGCUGUCUUUUGGUACCAAGAAUGAGACAAAGUGUAAACAAUCACAGCGUUAAGUGAAAUAAAUUAGACACACAGGCAUACAUGUGGGAUGGUUUUUCUUAUGUGAUAAGCCCAAAGUAUAAAUCAAGGAGCAAAAUAAAGGCUAGAUAAUAAGAAUCAGAGCGAUAGAGCUUUAUCAAGUAGGGAAGAGAUCUAGAGAUGGAGAGAGGGGGUUGGGGAAAGAGGGGAAGUGAAUUAAGUUGUGCAAGUACCAACUCCCCAUGAUGAAUAUAGUCACUAUGCAUGCAAGCAUGUCCUAAUAAAAGCAUUUGGUAAGUUAUAAGGACUCUUAAAAAGGACCUCUCCAUCCUAAAAGGUAAAGUUGAAUCAGCUAACAUAGAGUCAAUACAAUUAAUGGAUCAUUACCUACUGAUUUGUACAAACUCCACAGUUACACUCACAGUGUUGUAAUUGGAACAUGCAUGUGCUUGCUUGAGGGUCCCUGUGUCAGUCAGCUUUUCUGUUACUAGGACACAAUACCUGACACCCACAAAUUAGAAGAGGAGAAGUUUAAUCUGUUUGACAGUGUAGGGAGUUUCAGUACAUAGUUAGCUCGGUCCAAGGCAGAAAUAUCAUGGCAUAAGGGAGUGUUAGAGCAAUGGUGCUUAGUUCAUGGUGACCAGGGAGCCGAGCAAGGGAACUGUACAAGAGAACAUGAGAUAAAGGACUAAGUGUAGUACCCAAUACCGCCCCUCCAUGACACACCCAGACACUCAAGAAAUGUGUGAGUCCCAAAACAACCAAACAAACAAUGAAAACCAACAAUCACAGUCUCGUGAAGAUCCUGUCUCUUCCUUCUCCUUUCCCCCCACUUAGGGAACACUUAACUGUGGAUUGACUUGGUGAAUAACAGGAGUCUCUCCCUAAGGAGAAAGAAGUGAAACGUGGAUAGAAGGUAACGUUCUUCCAGGAACCCUGAAUCUGCACAAUGCCCCUCUCAUUCCAUCAGUCUCUGUUGUCACAUUUCCAUCUCAAUUCCUGCCCCAGGUGAUACUGCUCCCUGGGAGAAGAAAUGAGCCAUCACUGUACCCCUGUGCUAACCCACUAGCUUGCUGAAGUGUGCAGAUAAAGAAGCCUGGAAAAGAACUAAUAAAAGUUUUCCUAAUGAUA